rnacentral:rRNA from 1 species
GAUGGAUUAGCGGCGAACGGGUGAGGAACACGUGAAGAAUCUGCCUUCAACUCUGGGAUAACUCCGGGAAACCGGGGCUAAUACCGGAUAUGAGCCUUGAUCGCAUGAUCGGGGCUGGAAAGUUUUUCGGUUGAAGAUGACUUCGCGGCCUAUCAGCUUGUUGGUGAGGUAAUGGCUCACCAAGGCGACGACGGGUAGCCGGCCUGAGAGGGCGACCGGCCACACUGGGACUGAGACACGGCCCAGACUCCUACGGGAGGCAGCAGUGGGGAAUAUUGGGCAAUGGAGGAAACUCUGACCCAGCGACGCCGCGUGCGGGAUGAAGGCCUUCGGGUUGUAAACCGCUUUCAGCAGGGAAUAAGCGCAAGUGAAGGUACCUGCAGAAGAAGCACCGGCUAACUAUGUGCCAGCAGCCGCGGUAAUACAUAGGGUGCAAGCGUUGUCCGGAAUUAUUGGGCGUAAAGAGCUCGUAGGUGGUUUGUUACGUCGGUUGUGAAAUUCAGGGGCUCAACCCCUG